GAUUUCGNAUGGGCGAAGCCUGACGCAGCGACGCCGCGUGAGGGAUGAAGGCCUUCGGGUCGUAAACCUCUUUUCCUGGGGACGAAUAAUGACGGUACCCAGGGAAUAAGUCUUGGCUAACUACGUGCCAGCAGCCGCGGUAAUACGUAGGAGACAAACGUUAUUCGGAUUUACUGGGCGUAAAGCGGGUGUAGACGGCUUCUUAAGUCGGUUGUGAAAUCUCCUGACUUAAUUGGGAGGAGUCAAUCGAUACUGAGAAGCUAGAGGGCAGCAGAAGAAAGCGGAAUUCCCGGUGUAGCGGUGAUAUGCGUAGAUAUCGGGAGGAAUACCAGUGGCGAAGGCGGCUUUCUAGGUUGUUCCUGACGUUGAUGCCCAAAAGCGUGGGGAGCGAAACGGAUUAGAUACCCGUGUAGUCCACGCCCUAAACUUUGAACACUAGGUAUGGUGAGUAUCGACCCUCUUCGUGCCGAAGCUAACGCUUUAAGUGUUCCGCCUGGGGACUACGGUCGCAAGACUAAAACUCAAAGGAAUUGACGGA
rnacentral:rRNA from 1 species